GACGAACGCUGGCGGCGUGCCUAAUACAUGCAAGUCGAACGCUGAAGGAGGAGCUUGCUUCUCUGGAUGAGUUGCGAACGGGUGAGUAACGCGUAGGUAACCUGCCUGGUAGCGGGGGAUAACUAUUGGAAACGAUAGCUAAUACCGCAUAAGAGUAGAUGUUGCAUGACAUUUGCUUAAAAGGUGCAAUUGCAUCACUACCAGAUGGACCUGCGUUGUAUUAGCUAGUUGGUGGGGUAACGGCUUACCAAGGCGACGAUACAUAGCCGACCUGAGAGGGUGAUCGGCCACACUGGGACUGAGACACGGCCCAGACUCCUACGGGAGGCAGCAGUAGGGAAUCUUCGGCAAUGGACGGAAGCCUGACCGAGCAACGCCGCGUGAGUGAAGAAGGGUUUCGGAUCGUAAAGCUCUGUUGUAAGAGAAGAACGAGUGUGAGAGUGGAAAGUUCACACUGUGACGGUAGCUUACCAGAAAGGGACGGCUAACUACGUG
rnacentral:rRNA from 1 species